GUGUUCACCUCAGCAGCAUAUAUACUAAAAUUAGAACGCUACAGAGAAGAUUAGCAUGGCCCUUCACCAAGGAUGAAACACAAAUUCAUGAAAUGUUCCAUGGUUUU
rnacentral:snRNA from 1 species